rnacentral:rRNA from 1 species
AUUGAACGCUGGCGGGAUGCUUUACACAUGCAAGUCGGACGGCAGCACGGACUUCGGUCUGGUGGCGAGUGGCGAACGGGUGAGUAAUGUAUCGGAACGUGCCCAGUAGCGGGGGAUAACUACGCGAAAGCGUGGCUAAUACCGCAUACGCCCUACGGGGGAAAGCGGGGGACCUUCGGGCCUCGCACUAUUGGAGCGGCCGAUAUCGGAUUAGCUAGUUGGUGGGGUAACGGCUCACCAAGGCGACGAUCCGUAGCUGGUUUGAGAGGACGACCAGCCACACUGGGACUGAGACACGGCCCAGACUCCUACGGGAGGCAGCAGUGGGGAAUUUUGGACAAUGGGGGCAACCCUGAUCCAGCCAUCCCGCGUGUGCGAUGAAGGCCUUCGGGUUGUAAAGCACUUUUGGCAGGAAAGAAACGGCGCCAGCUAAUACCUGGCGCUAAUGACGGUACCUGCAGAAUAAGCACCGGCUAACUACGUGCCAGCAGCCGCGGUAAUACGUAGGGUGCAAGCGUUAAUCGGAAUUACUGGGCGUAAAGCGUGCGCAGGCGGUUCGGAAAGAAAGAUGUGAAAUCCCAGAGCUUAACUUUGGAACUGCAUUUUUAACUACCGGGCUAGAGUGUGUCAGAGGGAGGUGGAAUUCCGCGUGUAGCAGUGAAAUGCGUAGAUAUGCGGAGGAACACCGAUGGCGAAGGCAGCCUCCUGGGAUAACACUGACGCUCAUGCACGAAAGCGUGGGGAGCAAACAGG